UGGGGCCAUGCGCCUUCUCCGAUCGACUCUUCUGCCAGUUAUCAGAAGAACUGACCCCACCGUGCACACUGGCAGAGGUGGAUGAUGAGGAGCUGCGUGCAAUCUAUAUGGGUUUAAAGAGAGUCUAAUGACCCUUGGUGUACUCGAUACGUUACAGUCCAGCACCGCCGCAAUGAGGAACGAAGAGGAGUUGGUGGUGGGCUUCUGGAAGGACUGGCUGAUCGAUGUCGAAGGGAUAGAUGCAUUCAUUGAGCCAGAGGAGGGGGGAGAAACUAUCCCUCGAACUCUUGAAGGUGUACUGGUUUUUGCCACUGGGGCAUCAAAGAUCCCACCGUUUGGUUUUGAUGACAGGCCAACCAUUGAGUUCCUACACUAAAGUGUUGCAGGAACAAAAAAGGAUCUUCCCAGAGGACAACACAUGUGCGUUAAAGUUGUGGCUCCCUGUGCAUGCCACUUUUGAGUACUUUAUGAAGUGGAUGACCUCCAGUAUCCAACAGUCACCAACCUUUGGAAAGGCCUUGAAAGAGGCACAGACAAUCUGGGCAGGAGUUGCUGUGUGUCUUUCAAUAUCUGGAAAUGUUGUUCCAAAAACAGACAGCAGAGGGAGUUAUUUGCUUGUAUCUACAUCUGUUGUUUUGUUGAUGGGGGAAAAAAAUAGCAGAGUGAAUAAUAUGUGAAUACUUGGUCAAAUAGAAACGUGAAGAAAAAUGCACUAAAGAACAUAAUAUACACUGUGUACAAAACAAGGACACCUUCCUAUUAUUGAGUUGCACAGCCCUUUGCCCUCAGCACAGCCAAAACAGCAUCAUCACGGACAGCAGAAGUCUUUGCAUCGACCAUUCUGGAAUCACCCACUGAGAAGACAUGUGUUUUUCCUUAUGUCUUGAAGAUAUGUUGUAUCAUGUGAUUACACUAACAGAUGUGCCACUCUCAAUGUCAUUGUUGUGUCACUAAUAUAUCCUGGCAUUUCCAACCUGUAGUGUGUGAUCUUCUUUGAAAUCUUAAAAAGAAACAGGAUAUAAAAAAUGAAUUUGUUAUUCCACAAAGAAAUAUGGGGUAUGUUCAACCCAUCAUUUUACAAUAAUGAAGGAGUUCAGCACUGAUUAUGUCAGUGUGGUUAUGUUGACCCAUAUACCCACACUGCAGACAAGAAUGUUUUUGCUUGGUCAUUUGUCUGCUUGGAGGGGAAUAGAGAUGUCUGCCAAGUGAAUGUUGCUAAAGUAAGAAAUAUUGAUGGCGUUUAUCUUUAAGGAAGGGAGUCGAUCAGUUUAUCACCAGCCUCAUGUCCCUACACCCUUUACAGAACUGUGUUUAGUCCUUGUUAUUGCUAGAAGGGAUACAUUUGAAGUUUACUGAGUUAGAUCAAAUGGUACAACAUUUAUAAUGAAUGUAAAGCACUAAGGAAUUUAUGCAUGUUUAACAUGUAUGCAGUAAGAUGUUUCCUUUGGUUUUUGUUCAUACCAAAAAAGUCACUAUUACAGUUGUAAUGUUGUAAA